UAGCAUAUCAAUAAGCGGAGGAAAAGAAACCAACAGGGAUUGCCCUAGUAACGGCGAGUGAAGCGGCAACAGCUCAAAUUUGAAAUCUGGCGCAAGCCCGAGUUGUAAUUUGUAGAGGAUGUUUCUGGCGACGUGCCUUCCGAGUUCCCUGGAACGGGACGCCAUAGAGGGUGAGAGCCCCGUACGGUUGGAUGCCUAGCCUCUGUGAAACUCCUUCGACGAGUCGAGUAGUUUGGGAAUGCUGCUCUAAAUGGGAGGUAUACGUCUUCUAAAGCUAAAUACCGGCCAGAGACCGAUAGCGCACAAGUAGAGUGAUCGAAAGAUGAAAAGCACUUUGAAAAGAGGGUUAAAAAGUACGUGAAAUUGUUGAAAGGGAAGCGUUCAUGACCAGACUUGGGCAGGUUGAUCAUCCGUGGUUCUCCGCGGUGCACUCUGCCUGCCCAGGCCAGCAUCAGUUCGCCCCGGGGGAUAAAGGCUCUGGGAAUGUGGCUCCUCCGGGAGUGUUAUAGCCCACUGCGUAAUACCCUGGGGUGGACUGAGGUUCGCGCUCUGCAAGGAUGCUGGCGUAAUGGUCAUCAACGACCCGUCUUGAAACACGGACCAAGGAGUCGUCUUCGUAUGCGAGUGUUCGGGUGUCAAACCCCUACGCGUAAUGAAAGUGAACGUAGGAGAGAGCUUCGGCGCAUCUCCGACCGAUCCUGAUGUUCUCGGAUGGAUUUGAGUAAGAGCAUACGGGGCCGGACCCGAAAGAAGGUGAACUAUGCCUGUAUAGGGUGAAGCCAGAGGAAACUCUGGUGGAGGCUCGCAGCGGUUCUGACGUGCAAAUCGAUCGUCAAAUAUGGGCAUGGGGGCGAAAGACUAAUCG
rnacentral:rRNA from 1 species